GUUCUCGUAGCUCAGCUGGAUAGAGCAACUGCCUUCUAAGCAGUAGGUCGCAGGUUCGAAUCCUGCCGGGAACA
rnacentral:tRNA from 1 species